GUGCUCACUUCAGCAGCACAUAUACUAAAAUCGGAAUGAUACAGAGAAGAUUAGCACGGCCCCUGCACAAGGAUAACUGCAAAUUUGUGAAGUGUUCCAACUUUUU